rnacentral:rRNA from 2 species
UUGUAAGUCAGAUGUGAAAUCUCACGGCUUAACCGUGGUAAGCAUUUGAAACUGUGAGGCUUGAGUACAGGAGAGGAGAGUGGAAUUCCUAGUGUAGCGGUGAAAUGCGUAGAUAUUAGGAGGAAUACCAGUGGCGAAGGCGACUCUCUGGACUGUAACUGACGCUGAGGCACGAAAGCGUGGGGAGCAAACAGGAUUAGAUACCCUGGUAGUCCACGCCGUAAACGAUGAGUGCUAGGUGUCGGGGGUCAAACCUCGGUGCCGCAGUUAACACAUUAAGCACUCCGCCUGGGGAGUACGGUGGCAACACUGAAACUCAACGGAAUUGACGGGGACCCGCACAAGCAGCGGAGCAUGUGGUUUAAUUCGAUGCAACGCGAAGAACCUUACCAGGGCUUGACAUCCCCCGGACCGAACUAGAGAUAGUUCCUUCCCUUCGGGGACUGGGGAGACAGGUGGUGCAUGGUGGUCGUCAGCUCGUGUCGUGAGAUGUUGGGUUAAGUCCCGCAACGAGCGCAACCCUUGUCUUUAGUUGCAAACAGCUAGGCUGUGCACUCUAAAGAGACUGCCGAUGACAAAUCGGAGGAAGGUGGGGAUGACGUCAAAUCAUCAUGCCCUUUAUGUCCUGGGCUACACACGUGCUACAAUGGUCGGUACAACGGGCAGCCACUUAGUGAUAAGGAGCUAAUCCCACAAAACCGAUCCCAGUUCGGAUUGUAGGCUGCAACUCGCCUACAUGAAGCCGGAGUUGCUAGUAAUCGCGGAUCAGAAUGCCGCGGUGAA